GUUAGGCAAGGCUAGGGAAGUUAACAAAAUUUUUGAGGGAUGGCCAAGGCAAGGUGAAUGGUUGGCUUGCUGCUAGCAAGCUUGUUGGCAAGGCAAGGUUUUAACACACAAGGCAAGGCAAGGUUUGAAGGAAGUUUUUGGUGAGUGAGUUAAAUGGUUCUUUUUCUAUUGGAUGUUUGGAAUGAUUUUGUAGAUGCAAGUGAGAGGGAUUUGUUUUAGGAUGAAGGAAACAUGCUCCUACUGUUGGAUGGAUGCUUUUGGUUUUAAGCUUUGACAGCAAAUUUGAAAAUGCAAGAAAGUGAAUUUGAAUGAAUGAAGCUCCAUUGGUUUUUUUCUGCUAUGCUGCUGCUAUAUGUUUUCUGCUGUUUUGUUGCUAGUUCUGCAAUGUGUUUUGUUCCUUUGAGCUUUAAAGGUUUUUUGAGAUGCACUGCAGGGAUGUCUCUAGAAUAUGAGAACCAUUUUUCUAAGUGCUGUUGGUUUUGUGAUGACAGGGAGAAAAAUGAUGGAAAUGGUGUUAAGCUAGCUUAGGUCAUUGUGUUUUUGUGGACAAGGUCUU
rnacentral:lncRNA from 1 species